rnacentral:rRNA from 1 species
GACAGAGGUGCCGAGCGUUAGGCGGAAUCACUGGGCUUAAAGCGUGUGUAGGCGGGCCGUUAAGUGUCUUGUGAAAUCCCCCGGCUCAACCGGGGAAUUGCUGGGCAUACUGGCGGUCUUGAGCAAUCUAGGGGCAGAUGGAACAAGUGGUGGAGCGGUGAAAUGCGUAGAGAUCGGAAAGAACACCAACGGCGAAAGCACUCUGCUGGGCCGACACUGACACUGAGAGACGAAAGCGUGGGGAGCAAACAGG